rnacentral:rRNA from 1 species
UACGUAGGGUCCGAGCGUUGUCCGGAAUCAUUGGGCGUAAAGAGCGUGUAGGCGGCUUGCUAAGUCUUGCGUGAAAUCUCGGGGCUCAACCCCGAGCGGUCGUGGGAAACUGGCAGGCUAGAGUGCGGGAGAGGAGAAUGGAAUUCCUGGUGUAGCGGUGAAAUGCGCAGAUAUCAGGAAGAACACCCGUGGCGAAGGCGGUUCUCUGGAACGCAACUGACGCUGAGACGCGAAAGCGUGGGGAGCAAACAGG